GGCCGGGCUGGCGCAGGCGCUCGGGUUCGUGGCACCCGGCUGGCUCGGUUCGACGCUGGGUUCGAUCG
rnacentral:tRNA from 1 species